CUUGUUCGGUCCGAUCUCCUGUGGGCUUUACCACCUCUACCACAUACGGUUCCCCUCAAAAACAAAAACAAAAAAAAGCCUCUACCACAUCACCGAGGCCACUCCUCCCCGGAAUCCCACGCCACAGCCGAAUCCCGCGGCGCGUUCUCCUCCCAAAACCCAGCCGCACCGCGGGGUGGAGAAUCGGCCCGAGCUUGGCUUCGGCGCGAGCAGGGGCCGGCGGCCACCGCGGGAGGAAGACGGGAUGCCGCGUCCCUUACCCGCGCUGGCGACGCGUGCAGCAAAGAGAAUGGCGGGCGCGGCGGAGCGGGAGGAGACGCCGGCCUGCUGCUAUGGACCAAAAAUCAAUGGCCUAAAGGAUCAGCUCAUGGGAUUCGAGGCAAGUCUGGCAGACGCUAUGUCCAGUACGCAUUUCAAGCAUUUCUUCACUCACUUGUGCACUUUGCACCUGAGUGAAGAAAAAGGAUCACAAAGUAAGCUCACCAGUGAGUCAAUUUUGAAUGCCACUCCAACGAACGAGCAGCUCAGGAGCUUGGUCUUGUAUUAGAAGGCUAGGACUAGGAGAGAUAAGUGUAAUAUCACAUCAGCUUUGAGGACGUGAAAUCAACAUGCCUUCAUACAUCUUCAUUUGAUGCCAGCUAUCGAAGCUAUUGAGGCUAAUAUUGACACGAUGGGAAAAAGAACCUAGACGAAGUUAUCUUGUGGUACAAUAAAUUUCUCGGUUUUGAAGUUUUUGCAGAAUGUAUUGAGAGUUUCAAUGACAUGGUCCAUUAAGUUGCUUCAUACCAUCACAUGUGACAUCUCCUCUUUUUUCAAGGGGUUAGAUUUGUCUUCAAUAAAGUUGACAUGCAAAGAAUGGCGGGCCUGUGGCCUGCUGGUCCUGCACUGUCUAAUAUUCAUAUUGUUUGAAAAUGUAUAGGCAUUGAAGUUCUCAUUUUCUUUAUAUGACAGUAGUUGAGUGUAUUCCACUGCUUAAAGACACUGAAGAAUUGUUGAAGGAUUUCAACCGCACUAAAAAUCUCUAAAGUUUGUUAAGAGUCAUCAGAGCAAGGUCCUGGUUUCAAACCAGCCUCCUUGCAGAAGUACUCCCUCCGUCCCAAAAUAAAUGUCUUAAGCUUAGUACUCCCUCCAUUUUUAUAUACAAGGCCACUUCGUUUCUCGUGCCAAACUUUGACUUAUAAUUUUGGUCAACAAAAUAUGGGUUAUAUGUCGUAAAAAAUAUAUCAUUGAAAAGUUACCUAAAAAAUGUGCAUCUAAUGACAUACUUUUUAUGGUAUAUAACUAAUAAUUUUGUUUGUAAAAUUAACAGUCAAAGUUAGACAUAAAUAUAUGAAAUGGCCUUGUAUUAGUAGAUGGAGGGAGUUCAUUUUUGUAUUAGAGGUAGUACAAAGUUGAGACACUUAUUUUGGGACGGAGGGAGUAUUAUGCAAGGGUAAGGCUUUAAGCACUGGGUACACCCUUUUUAAAGUUGACAUGCAAAGUCCUGACAAUGAGUAUUUAUUUUGCGCAAAGGUCCCAUAAAGAUGAAUACAGCUGUGAGUUACAAGUUUCUACCUGUGCUUUCUAAUAUUCAUAUUGUUUGAAAACGUGUAGUCAACUAGUCAUUGAAGUUCUCAUUUUCUUUAUAACAGUAGUUCAGGGAAACUGCAGCAAGAUUCCAGCGGCUACCAUUAAAGGUAUUCCAUGCUUCCUUAGAAAACUUCAUCGAGUAGUACAUUUUCCCUGAAAUGCCAGUUAAUGAUGGCACUGUUUCCCCCAAGAGUAAUUAUUUUAAUAUUGCUGCCAUAAUGUUCUCUGUAUGUAUCGAGUAUUUACCUAAAUUUUCAGCAAUCUGUUUUGCACC